rnacentral:lncRNA from 1 species
CCAAAGUGCCCAAUCUCUUUUGUAUCUGAUUGUUGCAGGCCAUUUUGCCCGAGGCCCAAUUAAACACAAAAUAAAACUACCCAAUUACAACACCCAAUACCCAACAGCCCAAUAGCCCAAAAAUCAUCAAAAAAUAGAAAAAAAACCUAACCCUAGCCUCUGACAGCCACUUGUGCCGCACCCAGGCCUGCUAGUCAACCACCCCACCGACUCACCUGCUCCAACUGCUCCGCCAGUACCUGCAACAAACACCAACAAGCAACAGCAAAUACUGAUAGCAAAAAGAGAUUUUUUGGUAGUUUGGCUAUAUAAGGCCGAUUGAAAAAAGAACUCAGGGGCUUUUUUUCUUUUUCGAUUUGUAACCAAGAAAAAUUCUAACAGAAUAAUAAAAUAUCAAGCUUCAAGGUGAUUCCCGGGAUUUUUGACUGCAAUAUUUAUUUUUUUUCUUUUUUUCGUUGUAUUUAUUUUAUUUUAUUUUGAUUUUGUUAAACGAAAUAAAAUAAACAUAAAAUAAAGAAAAAGAGACUCACCGGAGUCAUCCCGUGACCGCGUCGUCGGAGGUUGACUCUCCGUAUUCAGAGCCAGAUCUGAAGGGAACGAAGGUUUCCUUAUCCUUUUCGCAAGUUUAGAGUGUUUUUUUGGUAUUUUGGGGCUCAGAUCGGUGUUCGGGAGGUCAUUUUAGGCCGGAAGGGCCCAUUUUUGGAACUCCGACCACCGUACACGGUGGUCGACGGAAGGUGGCCCGAUGACCGGAAGCGGCCGGAUUUUGGCCAGCCUUGGGGGCUUGAGAGAGAGAAAGCUCUCUGUUUUUUAGAAAAUGUGAUGAAAGUGAUAUUUUGGGCAUUUUUUUUAUAUUUAUACAAGUCAUAAAACGGCACCGUUUUGAUAGGGUCAGGACAGCCCCAAAACGACGUCGUUUUGGGCUCCUGACCCGCGACCCGACCCGCUCCGACCCGAAGGAUCCGCGUGUUUUCUUUGCGAAGGGGCUAAUUGCUCGUUUAGCCCCUCCGCAGUUUUAAUUAUUUUUAAUUUAAUCCUUUUUUAAUUUUUGCAAAUUGGCCUAUUAAUUUAGUUUGUUUUUCGAUUUGGUCCUUCGACCAUCUGCGCCCUCCUUCCUGGAACGGCGUCGUUCUGACAUUGAGGGUUUAAUUACCCUUUCGGUCCCUCCUUUUUACGCCCGCUUGCAAUUAGGUCCCUCCGCCUUUUUUUAUUUUUAAAUUGGCCCAGAAACUUUGUUUUAUUUCGAUUUAAGUCCCUUUUAAGCAUGUUUUUUCCUUUUGCUCAUUUAUUUAUUUAUUAUUAUUAUAUUAUUAUUUUUAUAUAUGUGCUUAUAUACUAUAAUAUAUAUGUCUAAAAUUAUUACGAAUCUAUAUAUUUAUAAACUUUAAUAUAUAUCUAAUAAUAAUAUUAUAUUAUAUAUUCAAUAUUUUUUUAUAUCUACCCUGCUUUUUAUUUAUUUAAUAUCUAUAUAUUUAUAUACAUAUACUACAUAAUAUUUAUACCUACGCAUAUACAAUAUAAUACACGUGCAUAUGAAUAUUUUUAUUUUUAUUUUAUGAGCAUUUCUAUUUCCUUAUUUAUGUAUAUACAUGUAUUUUAUAAUUAUAUAUACUUCUUUUUUUGUAUUUAACUUUAUGUUUUUACCUCGUAUAAUUUGUUUCUAACAUACAUACAUAUAUAUCACCAUUUUAUUCAUUAUUAUAAUUAUCAUUUCAUGUUGAUUUAUUUAUUUAUCUACAUGUUCGUUAUUAUUUGCUUAAAUGUCUUUAUUCUGGUUUGUUUAUUUUUUUUAUUUUGUUGACUUUUUAUUAGUUACCAUACAUAAAAAUGUAAUUUGCUUUCACUAUGAUUUUGUGUUUUAUCUUACUUGAUGUAACAAUUUUUUUAAAUGGCAUUUCGUGUUUGGAUUCGAGAAAAUCGUGCCCUAACUUACUGGGUUUCGAUUUUCUCGAUGAAUCUAAAUACACGAAUCUUUUCAAAAUCAAGUUUUAAAUGAUCUCGAAUUUUAAAAAAGGGGUCGCAUCCUAACUUACUGGUUAUGAUCUCAUUUUUAAAUUCGAGAUGGCUAAAAUUUCUUAAAUAAACUUUUUCAUUCGCGUAUCGAGAAUUUGAGAUAUUGUAUUCUAACUUACUGAAUAUGAUUCUUUUUCUCGAAUAACGUGAAAUAUCCUCCUUUUCUUGAAAAUUUUAACAUUUUAAUACAAGGAUCGUAUUUUUAAAAUUCUUUUAAAUUCUCAAUUUUCGACAUUAAGGCAUUAAGUAAUCAACUAGGUACCAAUUUUGGGCGUAUCGAGGGUGCUAAUCCUUCCUCGUGCGUAACCGACUCCCGAACCCGUUUUCUAAAUUUCGUGGACCAAAACCGUUGUUUUAAUAAAAUCAAACCGUUUAUUAAAAACAACUAUCUUUCGAGGUAAUCCAAUCACACCUCAUAAAAAAAAAGAUUGGUGGCGACUCCCAUUUUUGUUUUCAUUUUCCAAAACCCAAGUUGACUCCGUUUUCAUCAAAAAAAUGGUGCCAACAGCUUGGCGACUCCACUGGGGACAUGUUAAGAGAGUCAAGCCACGUGUUGAUUAUUUCUUGUCUUUUUGUCGAAGGUCGAAAAUUCGAUUGAAAUUUACGAUCCUCUCAUUGCGUCUCUAUCGUUUUGAGUUAUAUUUUUAUCGUGUUCUGUAUUUUAUUUUAUACCUCUGCGCAUUGCAUUGCAUGACCGUUGGUCACACCUUUUUAAGUGAGAGUGAGAAGCUACGCCUUCGUGAGGUUUUCACCUCCGCAUGGGAUAGUGAAUCGCUUUCGGGAUAUAUCUGUACCUAUGUCUUCGUGAGAUUUUCAUCUCCGCAUGGCCAUAGGGAAAUGUAUCCCCCUGAAUCGAACUUGGUCCGUAUGAGCCUAUAAUGGGUGAGGAUCGAGGAAUUUGCUGGUUCAGGUACCCUACUUUAGAACCAAACCACAUGUAAUGAGCCAUAGGAACCGACCUAGGUAGAGCUACUCUAAAAUUUUAGUGCCUACCUAAAUGAAUGUUGUAUUUAUUUGUCGUUUAUUUUAAAUCUUAUGCUGUGUUUAAUGCUAAUUUACUUUGUUUGUGAUUGCAUGGCAUCUUCAUUCUAAAAGAGGUGUUGAUUUACGUUCAGUUUCUUAGUAGAAAGCUUAUCAUGGAAAAGGGGUUUGUUGAUAAAGUAGAGGAUAAUGCGGCUGUGCGAAUAUGGGCUGAAACGACGCAACGGGAGAAAGGCGAUAGUCUUACCGAAGGGUACGUGUCAGAAUUGUGGGAUUUUACCCGUAUCAGUGUAAUCCAGAAUGACCUUCGAGAAAUGAAAGAAGUCUGGGAUCAAUGGGAUGUCGAGGCCAAGGAGCUGUUCUAUUGUAACUAUGGUGACCUACCUUAUCUGCUCAGUGUCAAAGUGGACAAGUAUUUAUUCCGAGCCCUUGCUCAGUUUUGGAAUCCUGCCUACAGUUGUUUCACUUUUGGGGAAGGUAGAUUUGACGCCUACUGUGGAGGAGUAUACGACCUUGCUUCGGUGCCCAAAGAUUCAAGUCGACAAGGCUUAUUCCAGAGCUGCUUGUGUCCCUCCGUUGUUAAAGAAAUUAAUGAACAUCACUGGGAUGAGCGAGCAGUGGGUCGCUGCCCGGAUCCAACAGAAGGGCGACAGUAAAUGUGUUCCUUGGAAAAGUUUGCGAGAUUUGGUGCUUGUACAUCCUGACUUAAAGAAAAGGGUCGAUGUCUUCGCUUUAGGUAUCUAUGGACUAUUGGUUUUCCCCAAAGCUUUAGGACACAUAGACGAGGCUGUAUCUGAUUUGUUCGAUCGGCUUGGUAAAGGGGUUACACCGGUUCCGGCAAUACUCGCGGAAACUUUUAGAUCCUUGAAUGCGUGUCGAAAAGCAGGGGAGGGAAGGUUUAUCGGAUGCGCGCAGCUCUUAUUGGCAUGGUUCCAUAGCCACUUCUGGAAAGUCGAAAAGGUCUCUUACCGGGUAUUCUCCGAUAGCUACUCCCCUCUAGGAGAAUUGGUGGCCACGCCAAGACGGGAUGAUAUUUUAGAAGAAAAAUGGAUAGAGAUACUCCAGAAUCUCCAAGAUGAAGAUAUUGAAUGGAGGGCUCCUUGGUUAAUUCCUGAUGAGAUAUUGUACCGAUGUGGAGAUUUUGACUGGGUUCCGCUGCUCGGGAUAUGGGGGGCUAUUGGAUAUGCUCCUCUACUCGUGUCAAGACAGUAUAGAUCACGACAAUUCAUACCAGCAACCCAGGGGUUGGCUUAUAGUGAUUUUUCCUAUAGGGAGGACAAUUACAAGAAGAAGGUUCGAGAAAUAUCUAGUGCCUGGAACCAGACUCGUCGAAUGAAGAUCUUAGCUGUGGGUCCGACAAUUACCCCCGAGUAUGGUCAGUGGCGUAAUCAAAGGAUCAACGACAACAUCCCGGCGUCAAAUUCAGAAACGGCUCGAUCUUUAGAGGAACACUUACAAGUCUUGCCUUCUGAGAUAGAAAUCAUCAAACAAGAAUUCGAAAAAAGAAGUUUAGAAUUGGGGAAGAAGAUAGAACAACUUGAGGAAGAAAAAAUGCAGUUAGGACUGGAUGUGGACAUUCAAAGAUUAGAGGCCAACAAAUUGAGGAAAGGAAAGAACAAGGCAGAAGAAGAUUUGGACAGCCUGAAGACAGAUUACAAGAAGUUGCGUAAGUCAGUAAGAGCCGCUGGCUUGGGUAAAACACCAGAACAAUGGCGACAAGAAAUUCAGGAGGAAAAGACGAAAGCUAAUCAAUGGGAAAAGAAAUUUCAGGAUGCUCGGGCUCGAGAAGCCGCCUUGGGAAAGAGUCUACUAGUUUGCCAAGACGAGAAGACGGAGUUGAAGGUCCGGAUAACAGAACUGGAAAGAUCGCUUCGCCAGUACUGUAAUCGUAAUACUACGGUUGAAUUAAGGGCGAGCUUAGACAAAAUUGAAGAAUUAAAAACACAGAUAGGAGGGCUAGAGAAUGCAUUGCAAAAUAGUGAAAUCCGGAUAGAGCUUCUAGAAGAAAGUAAUGAGCAGUGGCAAGGACAAUUCCGUCGGUCUCAAGAGCAGAUAGGAGAAAGAGAUUAUAUUAUGGGAGAGGCGGUGACUCAGGUGCGCGAAGUGGCUGAUCAUCUGCAAACUCUAGCGGUUCAGGCUGAUCUAUUAAGUUUGAAGUAUGAGUCAGAGUCGGACAGGGGCCGAGAAUUAGCUUGGCUUCUUAGAAAGGUUAAGGCUUUGAGUGUGAGGGCAAAGCCAUAUAUGUAGUCUAUUUUAUGUAAAGAAACUCUUUAUCUAGUAAAGUUUUCUAAUGAAGUUGAAUUAAAAUCAGUGCCUCUUUUUCUUUGCAUUCUCUUUCAUGCAUUGCAUCACAUCAUAUGCAUUAAUGACCAUUAAAAAACCUAAUCGAAUAAAAUCAUUUCAGUUAACCUGGAAAACCAACAAAGUUACGGCACCCGAGCAAAGACAAAAAUUAUGGACCAAAGGUUAGAGAAGCUAGAGCGACUUCAAAGAGAAAUGCAAGACCAGUUGCAGGCGCAAAUGAAAGAGCAAAUAGAAAAGAUUCAGCGUGACAUGGUACAAAAGAUGGAGGAGUCCCAAAAUGAUCUGGUGGCUAAGAUGACGCAAUUAUUGAAGGGAGUAGAUAAGGGUAAAGGGCCUGUGAUUGUUAGUGAAGAAGAAAACAAUGGUGAACCACUCUAUCCUCCAGGUUUCACGCCUCCACAUGUACAGACUGAGCUGCAUUCGCGGAGACCCUCUGUGUCAGUUAGACCCCAGCAGUUCCAAGGCGAUGCUUCAAUCCCAAUGAAUUUUCAACCCGGAGCGGGCUUUAAUCCCGGUGAUAGCCCGAAUAAUAUUGCGGUCCCAGAUCUUGACGAGAUGGUUGAAAAGGACAAGGCGAAGGAGGAAUUUCCAAAACAAUUUGAGGAGAAAUGGAAAUGGAUAGAAGAGAAGUUUAGGGCAAUAGAAAGCAUCGAAAGCUAUGGAACAGAUGCAAAGGAUCUGAGCUUGGUUCCGGACUUGGUGCUCCCUUACAAAUUUAAGAUGCCGGAAUUCGAGAAAUACAACGGGACUAGUUGCCCAGGAUCCCAUAUUACUAUGUUUUGUAGAAGAAUGACGGGGCAUAUUAAUAAUGAUCAAUUAUUAAUACAUUGCUUUCAGGAAAGUCUUACGGGAGCGGCGUCAAAGUGGUACAAUCAGCUGAGCCGAGCUAAAAUUGCUACUUGGAGGGAUUUAGCACAGGCUUUCUUGAGACAAUACAAUCAUGUCUCAGAAAUGAUGCCUGACAGGAUAACUCUGCAAAAUUUAGAGAAGAAAUCAAACGAAAGCUUCAGACAAUAUGCGCAGAGGUGGCGAGAGGUGGCGGUUCAGGUGCAACCACCGCUUUUGGAAAAAGAGAUGACGACGCUUUUUAUUAAUACUUUGAAAGCCCCGUUCAUCACUCACAUGUUGGGAAGCGCUUCAAGAAAUUUCUCAGAUAUAAUCAUGAAUGGUGAAAUGAUUGAGCAUGCCAUUAAAAGUGGAAAAAUAGAUGGAGGAGAAAAUAAUAGGAGGGCACCCCCAAGGAAAAGAGAAAAUGAAGUGAAUAAUGUGAAUGCUUAUGGUAGGUCAAUUACCGUGAAUCAACCAAAGAAAGUGGUUGCUAAUCAACAGGGAUCAUCAAGACAAGAGUCAGGAGCUAGGCAAACUACUGAAAAGCCCCAAUUCACGCCAAUCCCGAUGUCAUACAAGGAGUUGUAUCAGACUUUAUUCGAUGCACAUGUUGUUGCUCCUCGUUACCUGAGUCCUCUACAACCCCCGUAUCCAAAAUGGUAUGAUACGAACGCGCAAUGUGAUUAUCAUGCGGGAAUUUCUGGGCACUCGAUAGAAAAUUGUACUGCCUUCAAGAAGGUAGUAGAAGGACUUAUCAAUUUAGGUGUUGUCAAACUUGACGACUCACCUAACGCAAAGAAUCCGUUACCUAAUCACGCAGAUAAGGGGGUGAAUAUGGUUAGCGAAGGUACGGGAGAAGAAGUCAAGACUGACAUUGCUGAAGUAAAAACUCCAUUGAAAUGGGUCUGGAAAGAAAUGGCGAAAAGAGGUUUGAUUAUUUCAGAUUCUGAGAAAGGGCAUGAGAUGGGAAAUUAUUGUGAAUUUCACCAUGAAACAGGGCAUGAAAUCCAAGAAUGUGAAGGAUUCAAGGCAUUGGUUCAAAGCAUGAUGGAUAACAAGGAGAUGAGGUUUUAUGAAGAUGUGAAAGAAAUGAGGAGCAUAUGCGCGACAGAGUUGGGAACAAAGGCUCCAAAAAUAAAUCAUCCUGUGGUCAUUAUCUCCCGCCCUAAGGGUAAUGAGGUUAGGGCUCAGGUAACGCCGAAAAUUGUAAUCCAGAAACCAUCAAAUUUCUCUUAUAAAGAUAACCAAAUGGUGCCGUGGAAUUACGGGUGUAAUGUGACCAUUUUGGGAAAAGAAGCAGAAAGAAAUCAGGAAACAGUUUUUUACACGCGCAAGGGAAAAAGAUAUGACGCUCAAGCAGAGUCGUCCAGGGAAGAGAAUUGGAAGAAAGAACAGAGGAAAGGGAAGGCAGUAGAAGUUGAACCAUUGGUAAAUGAACCAAUAAAAGAAGAAGAGGCGAAGGAGUUUUUGAAGUUUUUGAAACACAGCGAAUACAGUAUUGUGGAGCAACUGCACAAACAGCCAGCCCGCAUUUCGGUAUUAGCUUUACUCUUAAACUCCGAAGUACAUCGGAAUGCACUCUUAAAGGUGCUAAACGAAACAUAUGUGGCGGACGAUAUUUCAGUAAACAAGUUGGAUCGGUUGAUCAACAAUAUUGGUGCUGACAAUUUUAUCUUCUUCAAUGAUGAUGAAAUACCAUCCGGAGGAAGAGGUUCUACUAAAGCCCUCCACGUUACUGUCCGAUGCAAAGGGUACACACUCCCGGGGGCCUUGGUCGAUAAUGGAUCUGCACUAAAUGUAUUGCCUUUGUCCACUCUUAGUCGAUUACCAAUAGACAGUUCGCACAUGAAAGCAUGCCAGAGCAUAGUAAGGGCAUUUGAUGGAACAAAAAAGGAGGUUAUGGGGAGAAUUGAAGUACCAUUAAGGAUUGGCCCAGUCACUUAUGAGGUGGAUUUCUUGGUAAUGGAUAUUAAACCCUCCUACAACUGUCUAUUGGGGAGACCGUGGAUACACUCAGCAGGGGCGGUACCUUCAUCAUUACAUCAGAAGGUGAAGUUGGUAUCGGAGGAUCGGUUGGUAACAAUAGAUGCAGAGGAGGAUAUUAUCGCAAUGAUGACUAGCGAGACACCUUAUGUGGACAUCAACGAUGAGGCACUGGAAUGUUCUUUUCGGUCGUUAGAAUUUGUGAACGCGAUGUUUAUUGCGGAGGGAAAUAGGAUUCCAGUACCGAAAAUGUCCAGGACCACUGAGAUGGGAUUGCGAUUGAUGGUAGGAAGAGGAGCCUUACCCGGGAAAGGAUUGGGAAAAUAUCUUCAGGGGAGGAUUGAGGCACCAAUGCCGAGGGAAAAGUUUGAUAGAUUUGGUUUAGGGUACAAGCCAGACAUGAAGCAGAAGAAGAAGGAAGUAGAGAAGAGACAAGCGAGAAGAAGGGCGCGUUUGAAUGGACAUGAAGCUAAGUGUGAGCCUUUAACCUUUCCCCACAUAUCUUCAUCUUUUGUGUCGGGAGGAUUUAUUCAUUCUGAAUGUGGGGUAUCCGGUAGCGGCAUGGGAGGAAUGUUGGAAAACGUUUAUAUUAACACCAUAGAAGCAACGGAAAGGAGGGCUUUGUUGGAGAUCCGCCCUUAUGAGCCUGGAAGCGAGCUAAACAAUUGGACUGCUGAAGAAAUCCCUGUAGUCUUUAGGGCUUAUUCAGAGUAAUGCUCAAAACAUUCCUGUUGUUUGUUGGCCUAGAAACGAUACGAAAUUUUUUGUGAAAUAGGCAUUGGGCCUAAAUAUCAUUAUUUUAAUAAAAUACGUGUCUACGUUCAUCUCGAUCAGUCACUUUUUUUUCCUUUCAUAUUUUUCAUUUGGUUGAUUGUCUUACAAAUAAUUCUUUCAUUUGUGAUUCUUUUGCAAACAUAUUCAUAAAUUUAUAUUCUUGGUAUAUUAUUUGAUCUGCCCACAUAGGUCUUCAGAUAUCAAUGACAUGAGUGAUGCUGUCUCAAACGCGGAGCCUAUUUUUGAGCAAGAAGUGUGUUCAGAGGGAUCCCACGACUUUGAAAAUGACGAAGAUUAUGAUGCAUCUCCGGACUUGUUAAGAAUGAUGGAACAAGAGGAUAAGCAUAUCCUACCUCAUAGGGAAUCGUUAGAAAUAGUGAGCCUAGAGGAUGGAAAGGAGGUGAAAAUUGGAACUGAAAUUACCGCAAAGACAAGGCAAGACCUCAUCAAUUUGCUCCGAGAGUUCAAGAAUGUUUUCGCGUGGUCGUACCAAGAUAUGCCUGGGCUAAAUACUAACAUUGUGGUACAUCGUCUGCCCAUAAAGGAGGAUUGUAAACCCGUUCAACAGAAGCUUAGGAGAAUGAGACCUGACAUUGUGUUAAAAAUAAGAGAGGAAGUCAAAAGACAAUUCGACGCUGGUUUCUUACAAGAGGUCAAGUAUUCGGAUUGGGUAGCCAACAUCGUCCCUGUUCCCAAAAAAGAUGGAAAGGUACGAAUGUGUGUGGAUUAUAGGGAUUUAAACAAGGCUAGUCCAAAGGACAACUUUCCACUACCUCACAUUGAUACUUUGGUAGAUAACACGGCGGGCCAUUCAUUGUUUUCUUUCAUGGACGGUUUCUCUGGAUACAAUCAAAUAAAGAUGCAUCCCGGAGACAUGAGGAAAACCACAUUCAUUACCUUAUGGGGAACGUUCUGUUACAAGGUAAUGCCCUUCGGAUUGAAGAAUGCGGGAGCAACGUAUCAAAGAGCUAUGGUGACUUUGUUUCACGACAUGAUGCACAAGGAGAUCGAAGUCUAUGUUGACGAUAUGAUCGCGAAGUCCAGAACGGAAGAAGAGCAUGUUCAGGUUUUGAAAAAGUUAUUUUUGAGAUUAAAGAAAUUUCAGCUCAAGCUUAACCCGGCCAAAUGCACGUUCGGAGCCAGAUCAGGGAAGUUAUUAGGCUUCAUAGUUAGCAAAAAGGGGAUCGAGGUUGACCCAGACAAAGUAAAGGCAAUACGAGAUUUACCUCCCCCGCGCACUCAGAGGGAGGUUCGAGGUUUCCUAGGGAGGCUGAAUUACAUCGCUCGGUUCAUCUCACAACUGACAGAGAAAUGUGAUCCAGUAUUCCGGCUCUUAAAGAAACAUAACCCGGGCGAAUGGGAUGAAGAGUGUCAGAGAGCUUUCGAUAAGAUAAAACAGUACUUGGCUAAUACUCCAGUCUUAUCACCUCCAAGUCCAGAUAGGCCGUUGAUAUUGUAUCUAACAGUGCUGGAGAAUUCCAUGGGAUGCGUAUUGGGCCAACAUGAUGAGACGAGAAAGAAAGAAAGGGCAAUAUACUAUCUCAGUAAGAAAUUUACCGAUUGUGAGAUGAGGUACUCAUCAAUUGAGAAGUUGUGUUGUGCUCUAAUCUGGGCAACCCGAAGACUGAGGCAGUAUAUGUUGUAUCACACGACUUGGCUGAUUUCAAAGUUAGAUCCUUUAAAAUAUAUGAUGGAAUCAACUGCUUUGAACGGGAGAAUGGCUAGAUGGCAGAUCUUGCUCUCAGAAUUUGAUAUAGUAUAUGUCAGUCAGAAGGCCAUAAAGGGAAGUGCAAUAGCCGAUUUCCUAGCUAGUAGAGCCUUGGAGGACUAUGAAUCUUUGAAUUUUGAUUUUCCAAACGAGGACUUGAUGUAUGUGGCGAAUACUGAAGAAAAUCCUCAAAUGGAUCACGUAUGGAAGUUAAAUUUUGAUGGAGCUUCGAAUGCUACGGGUAAUGGAGUUGGGGCAGUUUUGGUAUCCCCGAGUGGAGAUCAUUAUCCUGUUGCCAGUAAGUUGGACUUCGAUUGUACAAAUAAUAUGGCAGAAUAUGAAGCAUGUAUUAUGGGCAUUCGUGCAGCCAUUGAACGGAACAUCAAAGUACUGAGAGUAUACGGGGAUUCAGCGUUGGUGAUAUACCAACUCAAAGGGGAGUGGGAGACUAGAGAUCCUAAGCUAAUUGGUUAUAGAAAACUAGUUCUUGAAUUGGCUGAGGAGUUUGACGAUAUCACCUUCUAUUACCUCCCACGGGAGGAAAGCCAAAUGGCUGAUGCAUUAGCUACUCUAGCUUCGAUGAUUCAGGUGAAUAGACUUGAGGCAAUGAGGCCUGUUCAGAUGAGUAUCUCUGAGACCCCGGCUAAUUGUUGCAAUAUUGAGGAGGAGGGAAAAGAUGAUUGUCCUUGGUAUCGGAGUAUCUUACAAUAUGUGAAGAAUCGGGAAUACCCUGAUCAAGCGACAGAGAAUGACAAAAGAACUCUGAGAAAGAUAGCCAUUGAAUAUGUCUUAGAUGGAGAAGUGUUAUAUAAAAGAAGGAAGGAUCAAGUACUGUUAAGAUGUGUAGAUGCGGUAGAAGCCAAGAAAAUUUUGGAGGAAGUCCAUGAGGGUAUUUGUGGGACGCACGCCAGUGGUUUCGCGAUGGCCAGACAGAUCAUGAGAUUUGGGUACUAUUGGCCCACCAUGGAAGGAGAUUGCAUUGAUCAUGCCAGGAAGUGCCACAAAUGCCAAAUUUACGGAGACAAAAUACACGCGCCUCCUUCACCUCUUCACGUCAUGACCUCUCCUUGGCCGUUUUCCAUGUGGGGUAUGGAUGUUAUUGGGCCAAUAUCACCAAAGGCUUCUAAUGGGCAUCGCUUCAUCUUCGUAGUAAUUGAUUACUUUACCAAGUGGGUGGAGGCUGCUUCAUAUGCAAAUGUCACAAAAGCAGUAGUCAGCAAAUUCUUGAAGAAGGAGAUCAUUUGUCGAUAUGGGAUGCCUGAGAGGAUCAUAUCCGACAACGCGAUGAACUUGAAUAAUAGCACAAUAGCUGAAGUUUGUAGCAAAUUUAAAAUUAAGCAUCAUAACUCAUCGCCGUAUCGUCCCAAAAUGAAUGGUGCAGUGGAGGCGGCCAAUAAAAACAUUAAAAGGAUUGUGGGGAAAAUGACUGAAACCUACAAAGAUUGGCAUGAGAAACUAUCAUUUGCUCUCCUCGCCUAUCGAACAUCUGUUAGAACUUCUACUGGGGCAACGCCUUUUGCUCUGGUUUAUGGAAUGGAGGCAGUAUUACCCAUUGAAGUUGAAAUCCCUUCUCUACGGGUGUUAUCCGAGCUACAGUUGGAUGAAGCCGAUUGGAUCCAAUCUCGGUACGAUCAGUUGAACCUAAUAGAAGAAAAGAGGCUAAGAGCUAUUCACCAUGGGCAAAUGUACCAGAAACGAAUGAUGCGAGCUUAUAAUAAAAAGGUUCGCCCCCGAGAAUUUCGUGAAGGGGACUUGGUACUAAAAAAGAUUCUUCCUAUGCAAAAAGAUUUUAGAGGAAAAUGGAUGCCAAAUUGGGAAGGCCCUUAUGUUGUAAAGAAGGCCUUUUCCGGUGGAGCUUUGAUCCUAUGCGAGAUGGAUGGCAAAAGUUUACCAAAUCCUGUAAACGCAGACUCUGUUAAGAAAUACUUCACUUGAAAGAAAGGGGAACCAAAGUGAAAACCCGUAAAGGGCGCUUUGCUUCCUAAAAAAAAAAAAAAAAAAAAAAAAAAAAACUUUGGAGAGGCUAAGGUGAAAACCCGUAAAGGGCACUUUGAGACCAAAGAGGGCUUGAGUCGAAAACCCGAAAAGGGCGACUCGAGUAUUGGGCAGGAUUGGAACAUCAGGACUUGAGCGGAUCAAAUUUUGAUCAGGGGCAUAUGAUGAUCUUGCUUUACCAAUAAGGAAGGAUAUGCAACGUCUCGGAACAUUGACAGAGUAUUGCAGAUUUUCUGAACACAUGUCAAACUCAGAAGGGUCUUCGGAAAGUUUGUACAGAGAAACUCAAGCGGCGAUAACUGGGGCACCUGGUUCUUAUGUGUAUUCUUGAAAAUACAUUUUCUUUCUUUCUUCCUUGCCUUUUGUGAAAACACACAUUCUCAAUCCACUUCUUUGUUACCUUUCUUUCGUCAUUUUUGAUGUUUUAUUCGAGUCAUGAUCAGAACUAGCUUUAUUCUUAUCCAUUGUUAUGAUCUUUUUGCAAACAUGUUGCAUAGGAAUAUUGAUUAACGAACUAAUAAAACUUUCAGGAAAGAAGUUUUGCAUAUUACUCUGAAAAGUUCUAAAUAAUAUAGAAACCUGAAACAGGACUAUUGUUUAGAAAACACCAAGUUUAAAGGGUGAAGUAUCUAAGAAGGAAGAGUCUAAGUUAAAGACUAUAUUUUUUGGAUUUUGUUGUCCAAACAUUGAUUGAACAAAAUGACGAGAUGUCGUGUUGGUGACAAAGCUUCAAUGAACAAACAAGCAAUGAUCACCAAAUGAUAAGAAAAGGUUUUCUCGGAGAGGAAAAUUUUGCAAUUGUGCAUGAGCAUUUGGUAUGACACCUUGGGAAUGAGGUAAAGGACCAAAGAGCUUCACAUUCUGUAUCCUUGAAUUGCGAUAAGAGAAGAUUGAAAAAAGCCAUAUCUUUCUACCCUUGGAUUAUAGUGGGAGAAUGAUGGUACAAAUUUUGUGCCCUAAUAGAUUAAACUUUAAGGUUUACAGUGGGGGGCAACCAGAUUAAGUGUUUCUUUGGAUAUACCAGACGAGCAAAAAGGUGUUGUAGUACGUCAGUGAUAAAACCUUAAUAAGUUUUUACGUGAUGUUAACCUAAGCAUUAAGGAAUCAUCUUCAUGACAUUUUGCAUUCACUCAAAUGUCAUUCAUACAUAUCUAGUUAGGAGCAUUUGAUUCAUUCUGAUUAUGUCAUCCGAAUCACUAGGCACAAUUAGGUUCAUAAAAUAGAACAUACAGGUCAUGUUCCCCAAGGGACAGAUCAAUGAAGACAAAGGAUCUUGCCUUUCUGCAUUGACAGCGAAGCAGAUCGAAGACACAAACCUUGCCUCUUUCGGUUGUGAUAGAGCUGGUUGAAGACAAAAGAUCUUGCCUUCCUACAUUAACAGCGAAGCAGAUCGAAAACAAAGCCUUGCAUCCAUCGAUUGCAGUGGAGCUAGUUAAAGAAGUAGGUCUUGCCUUCCUGCAUUAACAGCGAAGCAGAUCAAAGACAAAGCCUUGCCUCCAUCGGUUGCAUUGGAGCAGAUUGAAGCCAGAGAUCUUAUCUCCCUGAGAUUACAGCGGAGCAGAUCAAAGAUAGUAAUCCUAUCUCCUUGAGAUUACAAUGGAGCGGAUUAAAGGAUCUUAUCUCUCUGAAGUUACAGUAGAGAAGAUCACAUCAGGUCUUAUCUCCCUGAGAUUACAGUGGAACAGACCAAAGAAUUUCAGAUCUUAUCUCCCUGAGGUUACAGCGGAGCAGAUCGAAGAUAUAAUCCUAUCUCCCUGAAGUUACAGUGGAGCGGAUUAAAAUAAAGGAUCUUAUCUCUCUGAAGUUACAGUAGAGUAGAUCGCAUCAGGUCUUAUCUCUCUGAGGUUACAGUGGAGUAGACCGAAGAAUUGCAGAUCUUAUCCCCCUGAGGUUACAGUGGAGCAGAUUGAAGCCAGAGGUCUUAUCUCCCUGAUAUUACAGUGGAGUAGACUUAAACCUAAAACCUUGUCCUUCUGAAGUUGUGGCAGAGUAGAUUGAAGCUACAAGUCGGACAUCCCUGAAGUGCAAUGGAUUGAAGCGACAAGACAGUGGAUUGGAAUAAAGCUAUUUGAAGAAAAGAAGCACUAGAAGAAGUCAAGAUUCGGCAAGACCGGGCAAAAUUGGCCUUUCUUGGUCUUUGCUCUGUUCUCGUUACACGACAACGAGCAAAGAGGGGCAGCUGUUGCAGGCCAUUUUGCCCGAGGCCCAAUUAAACACAAAAUAAAACUACCCAAUUACAACACCCAAUACCCAACAGCCCAAUAGCCCAAAAAUCAUCAAAAAAUAGAAAAAAAACCUAACCCUAGCCUCUGACAGCCACUUGUGCCGCACCCAGGCCUGCUAGUCAACCACCCCACCGACUCACCUGCUCCAACUGCUCCGCCAGUACCUGCAACAAACACCAACAAGCAACAGCAAAUACUGAUAGCAAAAAGAGAUUUUUUG